rnacentral:rRNA from 1 species
UACGAGGGGGGCUAGCGUUGCUCGGAAUUACUGGGCGUAAAGCGCACGUAGGCGGUCUUUUAAGUCGGGGGUGAAAUCCUGGAGCUCAACUCCAGAACUGCCUUCGAUACUGGAAGACUUGAGUCCGGGAGAGGUGAGUGGAACUGCGAGUGUAGAGGUGAAAUUCGUAGAUAUUCGCAAGAACACCAGUGGCGAAGGCGGCUCACUGGCCCGGUACUGACGCUGAGGUGCGAAAGCGUGGGGAGCAAACAGG